rnacentral:rRNA from 1 species
GCCCUUAGAGUUUGAUCCUGGCUCAGAUUGAACGCUGGCGGCAUGCCUUACACAUGCAAGUCGAACGGUAACAGGUCUUCGGAUGCUGACGAGUGGCGAACGGGUGAGUAAUACAUCGGAACGUGCCCGAUCGUGGGGGAUAACGAGGCGAAAGCUUUGCUAAUACCGCAUACGAUCUACGGAUGAAAGCGGGGGAUCUUCGGACCUCGCGCGGACGGAGCGGCCGAUGGCAGAUUAGGUAGUUGGUGGGAUAAAAGCUUACCAAGCCGACGAUCUGUAGCUGGUCUGAGAGGAUGAUCAGCCACACUGGGACUGAGACACGGCCCAGACUCCUACGGGAGGCAGCAGUGGGGAAUUUUGGACAAUGGGCGAAAGCCUGAUCCAGCCAUGCCGCGUGCAGGAUGAAGGCCUUCGGGUUGUAAACUGCUUUUGUACGGAACGAAAAGCCUCUUUCUAAUAAAGGGGGUGAAUGACGGUACCGUAAGAAUAAGCACCGGCUAACUACGUGCCAGCAGCCGCGGUAAUACGUAGGGUGCAAGCGUUAAUCGGAAUUACUGGGCGUAAAGCGUGCGCAGGCGGUUAUGUAAGACAGA